UCCCUGCUGGCUCAGAUGGUAAAGAAUCCGCCUGCAAUGCAGGAGACCUGGGUUUGAUCCCUGGGUAGGGAG
rnacentral:tRNA from 1 species